rnacentral:rRNA from 1 species
GCAAAACGCGAAGAACCUUACCAAGGCUUGACAUAUAGAAGAACGGGUCAGAAAUGAUCAACUCUUUGGACACUUCUAUACAGGUGGUGCAUGGUUGUCGUCAGCUCGUGUCGUGAGAUGUUCGGUUAAGUCCGGCAACGAGCGUAACCCUCGUCCCAUGUUGCCAGCGGGUUAUGCCGGGGACUCAUGGGAGACUGCCGGGGUCAACUCGGAGGAAGGUGGGGAUGACGUCAAAUCAUCAUGCCCCUUAUGUCUUGGGCUUCACGCAUGCUACAAUGGCCGGUACAAAGGGCUGCGAUGCCGUAAGGUGGAGCGAAUCCCAAAAAGCCGGUCUCAGUUCGGAUUGGGGUCUGCAACUCGACCCCAUGAAGUCGGAGUCGCUAGUAAUCGCAGAUCAGCAACGCUGCGGUGAAUACGUUCCCGGGUCUUGUACACACCG